UACAAGAGUGAGUUCCAGGACAGCCA
rnacentral:piRNA from 1 species